UACGUAGGGGCAAGCGUUGUCCGGAUUUAUUGGGCGUAAAGAGCUCGUAGGCGGUCUGUCGCGUCGAUCGUGAAAACUUGGGGCUUAACCCUGAGCUUGCGGUCGAUACGGGCAUGACUGGAGUUCGGCAGGGGAGACUGGAACUCCCGGUGUAGCGGUGAAAUGCGCAGAUAUCAGGAGGAACACCGGUGGCGAAGGCGGGUCUCUGGGCCGAUACUGACGCUGAGGAGCGAAAGCGUGGGGAGCGAACAGG
rnacentral:rRNA from 1 species